rnacentral:rRNA from 1 species
AUGCACGCUGGCGGCGUGCCUAAUACAUGCAAGUCGAGCGAACAGACGAGGAGCUUGCUCCUCUGACGUUAGCGGCGGACGGGUGAGUAACACGUGGAUAACCUACCUAUAAGACUGGGAUAACUUCGGGAAACCGGAGCUAAUACCGGAUAAUAUAUUGAACCGCAUGGUUCAAUAGUGAAAGACGGUUUUGCUGUCACUUAUAGAUGGAUCCGCGCCGCAUUAGCUAGUUGGUAAGGUAACGGCUUACCAAGGCAACGAUGCGUAGCCGACCUGAGAGGGUGAUCGGCCACACUGGAACUGAGACACGGUCCAGACUCCUACGGGAGGCAGCAGUAGGGAAUCUUCCGCAAAGGGCGAAAGCUUGACGGAGCAACGCCGCGUGAGUGAUGAAGGUCUUCGGAUCGUAAAACUCUGUUAUUAGGGAAGAACAAAUGUGUAAGUAACUAUGCACGUCUUGACGGUACCUAAUCAGAAAGCCACGGCUAACUACGUG